AAAGGAACUAGGAUUGUCAGAAGGUCGAUGCUUUUCUACUCUCAGAUUUUAAUGACAAGGCGUAAGAGAGAGAACAAUGGCUAAACAUGGUCUUACCAGGCAUCCCAGGCAUUCCCGUGAUUGGCAGAUAGCAGGUUGAGUGGCAUGCCGGACCCCAGGGACACUGGGUACUGGACAUAAAACAAUAUAGAGGUAAGAUGGAUAUCGGUUUGGAGUUAUGACAUGUAUAAUUCUUACAUUUUAGUGUACACUUUUCAUAUUCAUUCAAAAUUCCUUUUCUUUUUUGAAGACUUAUCACAAAAACAAGCUUUUCUCUGUGAAAUGUCAAUGGCUCACUGAGCAUAUACCAAGCAUUUCUUUUCAAAGCCUUUUAUAUAUAAUUCAGCCCUGUCAUGCAAAUUUUGCUUUGUGCAAGACUAGGAAACAUUUUUGAAGACAAGGACCACAAUGCAAAGUCCUCAAAUGUGGUUACGAAAAAAUGUUAUGGGAUUUUAUGAAUAAUGACUAAAUGAUGUAUACAUUUAACGCAGGAUUAUAACUAACAGAAUUCUAUGCUGUUUGAUGGAGAAUGUUUGUACAUAGGCAAAGAGGAAGUGUUAACAGACAACUUGUGACCACAGUGAAACUAACAACAGGAAAGAUGUCUGAUCCCCAACCAGGGAGGGGAGAAACUGUUGGGCUUGCAGUAGAUUGUGUAACAUGUGGUAGCAUAUGAUAAGCAAUAUGUAUGUAUGUGUUGGAAUGGAAUUGAAAAGCAGCCUUGUCAUUGUCUGAGAGGAGGAGGGACAUUUACG
ensembl:lncRNA